UGCCGGAUUUUGCCGAAAUUCUCAUUAAACCUCACCAUUCUUGAUGUAUUGGCUCCACCAACUUAUUCUAAGGAUAAUUUCUCAUGAACACUCAUCAUGAAGUCAUCAUGGAGGCUCAUUAAAUUUUGAGGACUGGACUUCACAUAUUUGAUUCAAGAUGAAUCGAGGUUGGAUGUACGGUACAAAGGCUGGAAAUUUGGAUUUUGUCAAUGGUGUGGACUCAUUUUUGCAGACUGCCAAGGCACACAAGAAUCUACAAGAUGAUGGCUACGUGUAUUGCCCAUGCAUUGAUUGCAAAAAUCAGAAGCAGUUUGGCAAUGUUGAGCAGAUCCGCUUUCAUCUAUUAUUUAGAGGUUUUAUGCCCAACUACCAAGUUUGGAACAAGCACGGUGAGGUUGGUGAGACAAUGCACUCCGUCCAUGAGGACAGGCAUGAAACAGUGGAGGAAACAACUAACCCGGAAAUAGUAGAGGAAACCGGACAUGAAAGCGUAAAUGAAACCAUGCAGGAAACAUUAGUUGCUGAUGAUGUUGUGGAUGCACUAGACCAGAUGAUACGUGA